UGGGGAAUAUUGCACAAUGGGGGAAACCCUGAUGCAGCGACGCCGCGUGAACGAAGAAGGUAUUCGUAUCGUAAAGUUCUGUCCUAUGGGAAGAUAAUGACAGUACCAUAGAAGAAAGCUCCGGCUAAAUACGUGCCAGCAGCCGCGGUAAUACGUAUGGAGCGAGCGUUGUACGGAAUUAUUGGGCGUAAAGGGUACGCAGGCGGUUUAAUAAGUCGAAUGUUAAAGAUCGGGGCUCAACCCCGCAAAGCAUUGGAAACUGAUAAACUUGAGUAGUGGAGAGGAAAGUGGAAUUCCUAGUGUAGUGGUGAAAUACGUAGAUAUUAGGAGGAAUACCAGUAGCGAAGGCGACUUUCUGGACACAAACUGACGCUGAGGUACGAAAGCGUGGGGAGCAAACAGG
rnacentral:rRNA from 1 species